ACGAACGCUGGCGGCGUGCUUAACACAUGCAAGUCGCACGGUGAAGCUCCAGCUUGCUGGAGUGGAUCAGUGGCGAACGGGUGAGUAACACGUGAGCAACCUGCCCCUGACUCUGGAAUAAGCGCUGGAAACGGCGUCUAAUACUGGAUACGAGAAGGGUCCGCAUGGGCACUUUCUGGAAAGUUUUUCGGUUGGGGAUGGGCUCGCGGCCUAUCAGCUUGUUGGUGAGGUAAUGGCUCACCAAGGCGACGACGGGUAGCCGGCCUGAGAGGGCGACCGGCCACACUGGGACUGAGACACGGCCCAGACUCCUACGGGAGGCAGCAGUGGGGAAUAUUGCACAAUGGGCGAAAGCCUGAUGCAGCGACGCCGCGUGAGGGAUGACGGCCUUCGGGUUGUAAACCUCUUUCAGCAGGGAAGAAGCGAAAGUGACGGUACCUGCAGAAGAAGCACCGGCUAACUACGUG
rnacentral:rRNA from 1 species